UCCGAGCACCAUGGUCAGAAUCCAGAUGUGCCUGUUCCGGGCCCCAGUGAAUGCCCAGCUUCUGUUCUCUACAGUAUGAGGUCUCCUACCUCUCACUUAAAAGAUGGUACUGCAGGCCAGGAAGAGCAAGUCUCCAUCACUGUAGUGGCUCUAGGCCAAAUCUCCAAAUGAAAUCAGGCUGGGGAGAAAUGAACAAGUGAGAUGCAGAAAACAAUGUGAAGAAGAAACUCUGAAGAUUCGAAUAAUAAUAGAAAAAAAAGGCUGUCCUCUUCUCUCUGUGGGCUAAGGGGACAGGUCCUGGAGCAAAGCCGAGCCCAGAGUCUGCUGCACCGCGCAGCAGAGCACAGGCUGAAGCCAGUGGUGAAAGUAAUAGAUUGGAGGAAGAGAGGUACAUUUCCUUGUUUCUGGGUCCUGUUACUUGUGUAUUGCAAAGAAUUUUAGAGAUGAUAGAACCAGAUCUCUUCAAGGUGGUGCAGGAGCAUUUGAAAUGGAUACCCUGAAUGGAUGAGCUAAG
rnacentral:lncRNA from 1 species